rnacentral:tRNA from 2 species
UGGCGCGUAGCUCAGCGGUGAGAGCGGCGUCCUUAUAAGACGCAGGUCGUGGGUUCAACUCCCAUCGCGCCGA